CUGACCCAAGGAAACCAAAAGGCCUCACUUUUCUCAGACGAAAAGGAUAAGCUGAAAAUCUCUGGAUUGUUUCUGUGAUUUUGGUUCUGGGUGAAAGAAAUGGCAGCUAUGUGUGUUUUAGACAGCGACAACGAAGGUAGCGCCAGUGAUCGAAACAUUUCGGAAUUGAUUUCUAGAUUAAGAACCGCUUACCGGACGAAGGAUUUCGACCGAGUCGAAGAGAUUCUGGUAUCCAGAGAAGUAAAAUUGAAGAGGGAGCUCAAUAAGCAAAAGUGCGAGGUUGAGCUUUGGAAGAGGAGGUUUGAAGAGUUAGGGAUUAGAGUUUCUAAAUUGGAGGAAGAUACCGCAAUGCUGAUGGAUAUGGGGCCUCAGGUUUCAAAUAAAUGUGGCGAUAACGCGUCGGUAAAGGAGGAGAAGUGUUGUGGAAAGGGGAGAGUUGAAAAUGGGACUAAUACUGUAGACGUGAGCAUUCAGAAUAAUGGAUUUGGUUGCGACGAAAAUACGAGUGUAGCAGCUGGUGCAGGCCUUAAUUUGCGUUCGCCCACUAAAACAGACGGGGAUUUGCAGUGUGCAGAAGCACUAUAGAUGAUUUCAGUUGUCACUGGCUGGUGUUGUUAGUAGCUCGUCCAACAUCUGCAUCAAGAGCCAUUGUUGACAUCCUUGAUAGCGAUGAUGAUCAUGCUCCAGAAGGAAUUUUGCGCAGAGAAGAAAACAAAGACCUCAUAGACAAGGUGAUCUCCAGAAUGCUUAAAAGAAAACAAACUACAUGCGUAAAUGUAAGUGAGAACAUAAAUGGUGGUGAUCAUGAAGGAGAUGAUGAUAUAUGUCCAACUAGUAAACGAAAGAUGAAGCAGCAACAAGAAUUGAUUCGUGAUACUUAUGGUUCUCGUGCCAAUCAUUGCUCAGAUUCAACAGCUUUUUCUGGUAGUCAAAAUGUUAAUAAACUUAUUAGCUCAUCAAGGCAGGAUGUAAUUGAGAACAUGAAUGGUGGUAUUCACAAAGUGGAAGGUAAUAUAUUUCCAACCAGUACACGAGAUAUGAAAGAAGAAGAAGAAUCAAUUCGUGAUACUGGUGAUUGUCCUGUGAAUUGUUGCUCAGCUACCGCAGUUUCUUCUGGUUGUAAAAAUGUUGAUAAACUUGCUAGUUCAUCAAGACAAUGUGAGGAGAAAAUGAAGACUGUACAUGCUUCAAGAAAUCUUAUGCAUGAACUUGUUUUGGAGGGGGAUAGUGACAGCAGUUCCAGUUCAUCUGAUAGUGACGAUGAGUUUAUUAGUUCGAGAAUUGCAAAAUUAGAAAGACAAUGGAGGGUUUAACAAGUUUGAUGCACUCAGGGGAACUACUUUUGUGGAGUUUCUUGUAGAUGGCGAUCCUCAAGGGAACCCAAAGAAAUCGGUUAGAGUUGGAGAACAGAACCAGAAAAGUCUCUCUGACUGUAAAGGACUAGCUAUUGAUCACCGUAAGCAAUUAUUUGAGACUUACCAGAAGAGGAACAUUUCUUCCUAUCAUCAUUUGAAUGUGCAGAAGUAGAUGAUACGAGAUGGUGAUAUUUUGUAUUUUGUGGUUCUGAAUCCAUUUGUUGCUGGAUUAUCAAAUGAAAGGAAAAAGGGUCAAAGCUCAAAACAGAAUUUCCAUCAAGAGGAAUGGACCAGACUAUGGAAACUGCUAAUACCUCCAGUAACUAAGAAUUUUUUGUGGAGAGCAUGCAGGAAUAUUCUGCCUACUAGGGUCAAUUUGUGCAAAAAGCAUAUCAUGCAAGACUCUAGAUGUCCAAUGUGCCUCAGAGAACAAGAAACAACUGAACAUAUUCUAUAGGAGUGUGCUUCUGCAACUGAUAUUCUGAGUCAAAGUUCGAGGAAAAUUCAGAAAUCAAAGUCUUCUUGCAACAGUUUCCAAGAACUUAUGAAGGACAUGUUCAACAGGCUUAAUAAGGAAGAAUUGACAGAAUUAACUCUGAUUUUCUGGAACAUUUGGAGAAGAAGAAACGAGCAAGUUUUCGACAAGGUUAUUAGUGAUCCGAAGAAUGUGAUGUUCAGAGUAAAAAACAUGUUGUCUGACUUAUCUAUAUCAAAUACUGUUGAGGAUGUUCAGGUUUCAACAAGAAGCAAUAGGAGGGCUUCUUGGGAAUGUCCACUUCAAGGUUAUUGUAAAAUAAACUGGGAUGUGGCAGUUCAAUCAAAGUUUUGUAAAAUAGGCAUAGGAGUUGCUGAAAGAGAUGAGGAAGGGAAUUUUUUUGGCAACUUUGAGGCAGCAACAAGAUGCAUUUCUAGAUCCACUUCUAGCAGAGGUAACUGCAUCUCUUAAAGCAGUCAAUUUUGGCAUUGACUUGGGAUUGAAAAGGGUAAUAUUAGAAUGGGACUCCAAACUAGUGGUUAAUGCAGUUCAACAAUUGAGAAGGGAUGAAAGCUACUUUAGAAUGCUCAUUUCUGAUAUUCAAACUACCAUGGGUAGAUAUGAAAAGUGUUGUUUUAAUCACAUUUGUAGGGAAGGCAACGGCCAUCAUUAAGAUGAAAUAUUUGUGCUAGUUUUUAUGUUCCUUGUACUCGCCAACUCAUGGUCGGUGAAUUGCGUAAUUGUACAUGUUUUUUUAGAUAUAGUUUUCUUUCAGAUAAGGUUACAUGUUCCAAAUUGUUCAA